CGCGUAGGCGGUUUGUUAAGUCGGAUGUGAAAGCCCCGGGCUCAACCUGGGAACUGCACCCGAUACUGGCCGACUAGAGUACGAGAGAGGGAGGUAGAAUUCCACGUGUAGCGGUGAAAUGCGUAGAUAUGUGGAGGAAUACCGGUGGCGAAGGCGGUCAUCUGGCUCGGUACUGACGCUGAGGCACGAAAGCUAGGGUAUCAAACG
rnacentral:rRNA from 1 species